UACGGAGGAUCCAAGCGUUAUCCGGAUUUAUUGGGUUUAAAGGGUGCGUAGGCGGCCUAUUAAGUCAGGGGUGAAAGACGGUAGCUUAACUAUCGCAGUGCCUUUGAUACUGAUAGGCUUGAAUACACUUGAGGUAGGCGGAAUGUGACAAGUAGCGGUGAAAUGCAUAGAUAUGUCACAGAACACCAAUUGCGAAGGCAGCUUACUAUGGUUUGAUUGACACUGAGGCACGAAAGCGUGGGGAUCAAACAGG
rnacentral:rRNA from 1 species